GAUGAACGCUGGCGGCGUGCCUAACACAUGCAAGUCGAGCGAUUCUCUUCGGAGAAGAGCGGCGGACGGGUGAGUAACGCGUGGGUAACCUGCCCUGUACACACGGAUAACAUACCGAAAGGUAUGCUAAUACGAGAUAAUAUGCUUUUAUCGCAUGGUAGAAGUAUCAAAGUUUUUGCGGUACAGGAUGGACCCGCGUCUGAUUAGCUAGUUGGUAAGGUAACGGCUUACCAAGGCGACGAUCAGUAGCCGACCUGAGAGGGUGAUCGGCCACAUUGGAACUGAGACACGGUCCAAACUCCUACGGGAGGCAGCAGUGGGGAGUAUUGGCACAAUGGGCGAAAGCCUGAUGCAGCAACGCCGCGUGAGCGAUGAAGGCCUUGGGUCGUAAAGCUCUGUCCUCAAGGAAGAUAAUGACGGUACUUGAGGAGGAAGCCCCGGCUAACUACGUG
rnacentral:rRNA from 1 species